AGAAAAACAAAAACAAAGUGGAACUGUGCAAUUUUGGAAGAAUUCCUGUCGGUUUUCUACAAGUGGCCCAGUUUUCCGGAUUCCACCGCUGUUCCGGGAAUACCAUCCAGCAGAAAACAACAGCAACAUCCAGCUGCUAACUCGAAAUCCGACGCAAAUUCCUCGGUCUUUAGAUGACACACCUCGAGCAGUUCUGUCGGAAGACUUUCCCGGUCAUCGGAAUUAUCGAGUCAAUCCUUGACCGACUUUGUUUGUUUUUUCGUGCUGGAUCCAACCUUCUGGACACCGUUGAUUAACCACUUUGCUUAACCAGUCACAGUUUUGGGCAGUCAUCAUGAACUUUACGCUUCGUCGAGUUAUAGAGCAAGAUGGCUGGGGAGGUGCUGGUUCUCAACAGAAGCAAACCAAGGAGAAGAAGCAGACCCCGGCCGAGGAAAUUCGGAUGAGGAACCGAAAUCCAAGAAUCCGUUCAAAUCGCUAAUUCGCUACUGCAAGAAUCCCCUCACCCGGUCUGGGUGCUUCCAGCAGAAAAAUAAGAAUGUUGACAAGUUGCAUAUGUCCGGAAGUUUUGGCCUCUGUUUGGUUGCUGAUGAUGGAUGGUUGUAAAAUGAAAUCGAAACCCGCCGAAAGAAUUUUGGAAGUACUGCAGAUAAAACUACGAAGCCUCUGGAAUGUAUCUUCAAAAAAUCUACAAAGACCUAGCCCGCAUCUGUAGCUAGGAAAAAAAGCUGUGAAGAAACGGUUUGAACCAAGCCACUACUUUGAGUUAAAGUGAGAAGAGAAACACUUAAAGGAACUUUAAGUAAAAAGUGAAAAUAAAGUUUCUAUCAUUAUUUUCUUCGAUUAACUAAAAAUCUUAAUACUUACUGUUCUAACUAUAGUUUUGGUCAAUCGGAACGGAAAAAUAUACACUGAACAAAAUAUUUUUAUUUUCAAAGAACCUUUAUCGGAACCAAUAUCGGAAUAUGUCGAUUUUGGUCAUAAAAAAGCUUAGUUAAAGUUGAGUUAAAGUAUAAAAAGGAAAAAAAAACAACUUUUGUGAUGUUCCAUCUCGACAAGCACUGUGAAAUUUUAGGUGAUUGCUACUAGGGUAGCAAAUAAGAUAAAUUUCUGAUUAUUUGUCAAUAUAAUAGAAUUCAUUGCUUGAUGAAAAUAUAAUGCAUAAGAAAAAUUAAAGUGUAAUUUUUGUAAUUUAAUCGUUUUAA